CUUACAGAAUGUUGGUUUUAAGUGAUGUAAUGGUCUGCCAGGUACCUCCUUAAGGAUGCUAUACUUGAAGGGGGAUGACAGCUUAUGAGCAUCCAGAAACUGAUCAAACGUUCAGUAGGGUAUCAAUCUAGCAAUGUCAAACCACACUACCUUGAUCUUGAAGAAGAUCCUUGAUAUUUACGAAGAUUCAUGGCUUCAAAGAGUUAGUUGAUGUUGGAGGUGGAAUUGGAGUCAGUAUCAACAUCAUCUCUUCUAAGCAUCCUCACAUUCAGGGUACAAAUUAUGAUCUGCCCCAUGUAAUAGCAGAUGCAACGUCAUAUCCAGUUUGAUUACACAUACACGAGCAUCAGAGCCUUUAACUUACAACAAGGCAUUUUACGUCUUAGGCGUGGAGUAUGUUUGGGGGAGGUAUUGUUUGCGAGUGUGCCAAAGGGAGAUGCUGUUUUCUUGAAGGUAAAGCCUCCUUGAUUUGAAAUCUCUGUUUUCUUUAGUUAGUUGAAGUCAGAAACAAAACUGGUAAUUGAAGUUCAUUGUCAAGAUGUGAGAAAAGGAAAAAUUAGUGAAAUCAGAAGACUAGUCUGAACUUCAUAGAAAAUAAUUUAGUCACCCCAGGAGAUGGUAAGGUGAUCAUUGUGGAACUGUUGCUUGGAGCGAUGAGCGUUGCUUGAAACUUCUCAGGAACUGCUGGGAAGCUCUUCCAAGAGAUGGUAAGGUGAUCAUUGUGGAAUCAAUUCUUCCCGUUGCACCAGAGAACAUUGCUUCUUCACACAUUGUCUUUGAGCAAGAUUUGCUGAUGUUAGCUCGAAAUCCUGGAGGUUAAGAGAGGACAUAAAAGGACUACUAAGCCUUAGCAAUGAAAUCUGGUUUCUCAGGUUAUCUGUUGUGCUUACAACAAUUGGGUUAUGGAGUUUCAGAAAGCACAGCCAUGAAUUAACCUUAGCAAUUUUCCAUUUUUGUUUCUUCUCGUUAUUGUUUCUUUCCCCUCUCGGUUGCUCUUGCUCCCGGUGGUUCAAGUCACGGUGACUCUAGGCUCAAAUAAGAGGGAGUCGAAUGGCAAUGUUAAAUACCAAUAAAAGCGAACUUAAUUGUAUUUUGUUAUUUCA